ensembl:lncRNA
AUGGCACAAUCACUGGAUCAACUGGCUCCGGCACAGAUCUUAGAUUUAUUAUGCUUGGCAGUGAUGAAGAUCUUAUGGAUGAUGCAUGUGACAUCAUUCUUAGGGAAUGAGCGGGAAGAACUGAAAUACAGCACAGAAAUGUAUUUGGCAAAAAGUCAUGUGGCAUCAUGCCUUUGCUUCUCCUCAGGAGUCAAAUCUAUCAAAGAUGAGAUGGUAGAUUGUGCAUCUCUGGUCUUUCCUGGACCUCAUGCAUUUCUAUUAGUUACUGACAACAGGAAAGGGACUGAGAAGGAAAAAGACCUUUUAAAAGCAAUUGCUAAAGUAUUUGGCAAAGAAGCCCUAGAUUAUGUUAUGUUAUUGAUUAUUGGAAGAACUCAACCGAAAGGGAUCAAAAGUGUCAGAGAGUAUGUUAGAAAGUUUUAUACAUUAGAGGACACUGAGCAUAGUGUUCAAAGUCUGUUCAGAGAAACUGAAAUAAUGACACAAAAGAAUGAGUCCACAUUCUUUAUUCAGCCAUCAUAUGAAAAGCUCAUGAAAAAGGCAUUUUUAUCAUGGGAAAAGGAAAGAGAUGCUGAAAUACAAAAACAGCAUGCACAAGAGAUGACUGAGUUAAAAGAAAAAUUUAGACUUACUGAAAGUAAUUUAAGGAAAGAAAUGGACAGUUUGAGACAGUUGAUGUUGGCAACUAAGAAUCGAUUAAAAAAAUACAAAGACAGCGAGGAGCAGAACCAGCAAGAGGCUUCAGGAGCUCAAGAAGAUCUGCUGUUCAAAGAAUGUAGCGACACCACCUUAAAAAACAUGUUUUCAUCCAUCAUUGAUGAUUUUACUGAACGUGAGAAUGCACUUAAAGAACAGCUUGCGGAUUGUAAAAAGUCUGUGAGCCACUGGAAGGACUUGUGUUACUCAUCCUUGACUGAUGUUGAUCAUGACAGUCAGAUGAAGAGUGAAAAUGAGAAGCUCCAAAGAGAACUGGAGGAACACAAACUCAAAGAAAGACAGUGGGAACAAAAACAUAAGGAAGUGGAGGACAGAUUAAGGCUGGAGACAAAUCUGAGGAGAAGAGAGAAGGAACUGGAGUCCAAAGAGAGAGGAAUGACAAAGAAAGAGCAAGAAAUCCAAACUAGUGGAGAAGAGCAUCAUCUACACAGCAACGUAGAGCUAACUUCUCCUACUGCUACGUCAAAAAAUCUCUUAAUGUUGUAGGUUUAACAUAAGCUCUCUUGAUGACCAGUUACAGUAAUGCAUUUCCAAUGAAAAUACAUUCAGCAUUUGCACAACAAAAGUACAUAUUUACAUACAUGACCCUGGAGCACAAAAGCAGUCUUAAGUCUCUGGGGUAUAUUUGUAGCAAUAGCCAAAAAUACAUUGUAUGGGUCAAAAUUAUAGAUUUUUCUUUUAUGCCAAAAAUCAUUAGUUUAUUAAGUAAAGAUCAUGUUCCAUGAAGAUAUUUUGUAAAUUUCCUACUGUAAAUAUAUCAAAACUUAAUUUUUGAUUAGUAAUAUGCAUUGCUAAGAAUUCAUUUGAACAACUUUAAAGGUGAUUUUCUCAAAAUUUUGAUUUUGUUGCACCCUCAGAUUCCAGAUUUUCAAAUAGUUGUAUCUCGGCCAAAUAUUGUCCUCCUAACAAACCAUACAUCAAUGGAAAACUUAUUUAAGAAGUAAGUUCACCUAAUAGUAAGUAUAUCAUUAAUCUACAUUCUGACAAAGAAGAAGAUUUGCAUUUGGCUUUUAAAGCAAAUGCAUGUAGUUUUGUGACUUUGGAGAUCCUUACUGUUGAGUGAGUAGAAUUCACUGUUGUACUGUAAAAGCAAUCUGCCCUUUUGGCAGAAUUUCGUACCCACUCACUAAACUUUUGGAAAGAAAAAGAAGAAUCCAUUGCCUUUUUGGAAGUCAGUAUAUCAUCAAAAUGAUUUUGAAACUGAUAUUUCAAGGUUAAAAAAACUUACAUUCAGUAGCUUACAACAACCAGCUCAUCCACGAGACUGAAGCAUUGCAAGCUCUGCUAGCUGUAGAUCAUAAUUAAUGUGUGGAAGAAAAUUACUGAUAAAGGUAUUUAUAGUUUACCCAAAAAUAAUCAUUCCAUCAUCAUUUACUAACAUAAUGUUCAAAACAUGUAAGACUGUCUUUAUCGCUGUUUUCCAUGCAAUUACUGUAAAUGCGCACUCAGGCUUAAAAAUAUCAUAAAGGUCCACACAUUAGUAUAUUCCAAUUGCUCUUUUGACUUUAAGUUUGAAAACUCUCCUUUAUUUGAAAUUAAUUGAAAGCAGAGACAGAUACAUAGCUAAUUAAAACAAAUCUCUUAAUUUCAGCUGACAUGUCAAACUAUUUAUUCAGUGGUUUAUAUUUAACAGGAUGUUAAGCGAAUAAAAGUUCUUUAUUGAAUCUAUGAAUUCCUUAU